UCAAACACUGUUGGUGAGUUUUUGAACC
rnacentral:piRNA from 1 species